GAUGAACGCUGGCGGCGUGCCUAAUACAUGCAAGUCGAGCGAACGGACGAGAAGCUUGCUUUUCUGAUGUUAGCGGCGGACGGGUGAGUAACACGUGGAUAACCUACCUAUAAGACUGGGAUAACUUCGGGAAACCGGAGCUAAUACCGGAUAAUAUUUUGAACCGCAUGGUUCAAAAGUGAAAGACGGUCUUGCUGUCACUUAUAGAUGGAUCCGCGCUGCAUUAGCUAGUUGGUAAGGUAACGGCUUACCAAGGCAACGAUGCAUAGCCGACCUGAGAGGGUGGUCGGCCACACUGGAACUGAGACACGGUCCAGACUCCUACGGGAGGCAGCAGUAGGGAAUCUUCCGCGAAGGGCGAAAGCCUGACGGAGCAACGCCGCGUGAGUGAUGAAGGUCUUCGGAUCGUAAAACUCUGUUAUUAGGGAAGAACAUAUGUGUAAGUAACUGUGCACAUCUUGACGGUACCUAAUCAGAAAGCCACGGCUAACUACGUG
rnacentral:rRNA from 1 species